AACGAACGCUGGCGGCGUGGAUAAGACAUGCAAGUCGAACGAGAGAAUUGCUAGCUUGCUAAUAAUUCUCUAGUGGCGCACGGGUGAGUAACACGUGAGUAACCUGCCCCCGAGAGCGGGAUAGCCCUGGGAAACUGGGAUUAAUACCGCAUAGUAUCGCAAGAUCAAAGCAGCAAUGCGCUUGGGGAUGGGCUCGCGGCCUAUUAGUUAGUUGGUGAGGUAACGGCUCACCAAGGCGAUGACGGGUAGCCGGUCUGAGAGGAUGUCCGGCCACACUGGAACUGAGACACGGUCCAGACACCUACGGGUGGCAGCAGUCGAGAAUCAUUCACAAUGGGGGAAACCCUGAUGGUGCGACGCCGCGUGGGGGAAUGAAGGUCUUCGGAUUGUAAACCCCUGUCAUGUGGGAGCAAAUUAAAAAGAUAGUACCACAAGAGGAAGAGACGGCUAACUCUGUGCCAGCAGCCGCGGUAAUACAGAGGUCUCAAGCGUUGUUCGGAAUCACUGGGCGUAAAGCGUGCGUAGGCUGUUUCGUAAGUCGUGUGUGAAAGGCGCGGGCUCAACCCGCGGACGGCACAUGAUACUGCGAGACUAGAGUAAUGGAGGGGGAACCGGAAUUCUCGGUGUAGCAGUGAAAUGCGUAGAUAUCGAGAGGAACACUCGUGGCGAAGGCGGGUUCCUGGACAUUAACUGACGCUGAGGCACGAAGGCCAGGGGAGCGAAAGGGAUUAGAUACCCCUGUAGUCCUGGCAGUAAACGGUGCACGCUUGGUGUGCGGGGAAUCGACCCCCUGCGUGCCGGAGCUAACGCGUUAAGCGUGCCGCCUGGGGAGUACGGUCGCAAGAUUAAAACUCAAAGAAAUUGACGGGGACCCGCACAAGCGGUGGAGUAUGUGGCUUAAUUCGAUGCAACGCGAAGAACCUUACCUGGGCUUGACAUGUAAUGAACAACAUGUGAAAGCAUGCGACUCUUCGGAGGCGUUACACAGGUGCUGCAUGGCCGUCGUCAGCUCGUGUCGUGAGAUGUUUGGUUAAGUCCAGCAACGAGCGCAACCCCUGUUGCCAGUUACCAGCACGUGAAGGUGGGGACUCUGGCGAGACUGCCCAGAUCAACUGGGAGGAAGGUGGGGACGACGUCAGGUCAGUAUGGCCCUUAUGCCCAGGGCUGCACACGUACUACAAUGCCCAGUACAGAGGGGGCCGAAGCCGCGAGGCGGAGGAAAUCCUAAAAACUGGGCCCAGUUCGGACUGUAGGCUGCAACCCGCCUACACGAAGCCGGAAUCGCUAGUAAUGGCGCAUCAGCUACGGCGCCGUGAAUACGUUCCCGGGUCU
rnacentral:rRNA from 1 species